rnacentral:rRNA from 1 species
GUCGAACGGCAGCACACAAGAGCUUGCUCUUUGGGUGGCGAGUGGCGGACGGGUGAGUAAUGUCUGGGAAACUGCCCGAUGGAGGGGGAUAACUACUGGAAACGGUAGCUAAUACCGCAUAACGUCCCUGGACCAAAGGGGGGGACCUUCUGGCCUCCCUCCAUCCGAUGUGCCCAGAUGGGAUUAGCUAGUACGUGGGGUAAUGGCUCACCUACGCUACGAUCCCUAGCUGGUCUGAGAGGAUGACCAGCCACACUGGAACUGAUACACGGUCCAGACUCCUACAGGAGGCUGCAGUGGGGAAUAUUGAACAAUGGGCGCAAGCCUGAUGCAUCCAUGCCGCGUGUAUGAAGAAGGCCUUCGGGUUGUAAAGUACUUUCACCGGGGAGGAAGGAGGUGAGGUUAAUAACCUCGCCGAUUGACGUUACCCGCAGAAAAAGCACCGGCUAACUCCGUGCUCCCAGCCCCGGUAAUACAGAGGGUGCAAGCGUUAAUCCGAAUUUCUGGGGGUAAAGCUCACGCACGCCGUCUGUUAAGUCAGAUGUGAAAUCCCCGGGCUUAACCUGAAAACUGCAUUUGAAACUGGCAGGCUUGAAUCUCGUAGAGGGGGGUAGAAUUCUCGGUGUAGCGGUGAAAUGCGAUAUAGAUCUGGAGGAAUACCGGUGGCGAAAGCGGCCCCCUGGACAAAAACUGACGCUCUGGUGCUAAAGCAUGGGGAGCCAACGGGAUUACAU